GCCGGGCGUGGUGGCGUGCGCCUGUAAUCCCAGCUACUCAGGAGGCUGAGGUGGGAGAAUUGCUUGAACCUGGGAGGUGGAGGUUGCAGUGAGCCGAGAUGGCACCACUGCAGUCCAGCCUGGGCUACAGAGUGAGACUCCAUCUCAA
rfam:Gorilla gorilla gorilla genomic chromosome, chr6, whole genome shotgun sequence